rnacentral:lncRNA from 1 species
GGGUUCUGAUGGGAAGCCUCAAGGCCUAUUCAAGGCCCCACAAAGGCACCUAUUUGGAUCCAUUCUGCUCUUUGAGUUCAGGUAAUCAGAAGUAUAAUGGUUAUAAGAACCAUAUAACUCACAAAAGGAACCUUAUGUGUUUGAGUACUAAGUUAGUUAUUUAUGGGAAGCCUCAAGGCCUACAUUUAAGGCCCCACAAAGGCACCUGUCAAUAACUAACAUAGUCUCUCGAAUAUAUAUGAUUAAAACUCAAAACAUCCGUUCUACAUCUACCAUGCUGAAGAUGGUAGUGGCACGCUUGAGCAAUUCCAAGUUAAUCUUGAUCGUGAGCCUCAAGACCUACAUUCAAGGCCCCAUAAAGGCACAUUUCAAAGUUAACUAUGUCAUUCUCUUUCAGCCUUGCCCGACAAGCCUUGCCCGCCAAGCCUUGCUCUACAAGCUCGCCAAUAAAGCAGGAGCCCGACAGAAAGCAUCAACCGGCGCCAACCUCUCGGGGAGCUGUGUGCUCGUAGGCCAGGAAGCAUUCCCCACGGAAAUUCCCACCACGAACAUAGUUUUGGCACACCCGAUGGGAUUUCAUUUGUGUAGAUAUUGCAUGUCCAAAAAGAAAAGCCAUACACUUUAUAAAAAGAAAACGAAGAGCGAUUCUUCUCAACUUUUGCUACCAAUGACAGAUCAAUCAGGAAAUCCUUCUUCCCCAUCAGGACAUGUGGUCCUAGAAAGCCCAUCUUCAUCCGGGAAGUCGGAAGGAAAAUGAACGAAUGAGGAAUUACAGGCUACUAUGAUACAAGUACUGAGAAGUAUGGAAAAAAUCUCUUUGGAGACCAAGGGGGAAGUCAGUAGACUGUGUACCUUAACAGGAAAUUUACAGAGAAGACUGGAUCUGGAGUUUUCCACUCCAAAAGGCGCUCAAGGGAGUGGGAUGAGCCAGGUUACCAUCAGAAGUGAGCCAGUCAUUCCCUUAUUCCCACUAUUAGAAGAAGAAGCGGAUAAGGGAAAGAAGAAAGCAGUUCUUGAAGGAAGUCAACCCGUGAUAGAGCCAGUCCUAGGGAAAGAGUUUCCUAGCUUCCCGUUGUUAACAUUUAAUAACAGGAAGCAAAACGAGCAGGAAAGGACAAAGUAUGGGAUGCCCAUAACAGCGGGAGAGUCCAGCUAAAAGGAAAGCUCCGCGGCCCCAGACAAACCUCUUCCUUAUAGGCCACCCCCAUUGGCUCAUAAGGGAGGGGGAACCAAAUGGAGGAAGCUUGAGUCAAAGAAAGAAGCAUUCAUAGGCAAUGACCGAAGCCCGAAGGAUGAGUCUGCUCUUCUCUUCCAGAAUAAUACAGCUACUCAACAACUAAGGGAUGAGCUGGCCGAAUUGAGGAGGGCAGUGGUUCAAAAUGCUCAACCACGAGCUCGCCCAGUAUUCAGGGUUACUUAUCCAAAGCCUUAUCCUGAAUACAUUGAUGAACAGAAUCUGUUUCCUUUCAACUUCAAGAUGCCCGCAUUCCCAACAUUCACGGGUGAAGAUAGCAGUGUGUCCUCCAGAGAUCACAUUUUCAAGUUCUCUAAUCACUGUGUGGCAUAUGAAGACAACCCAAACUACAAGUUAAGGUUGUUUGGGAAUUCAUUGGCAGGACUUGCAUCCCAGUGGUAUUCUCUAUAACCCCCUAACUCUAUUGCCAACUGGGGGCAAAUGGAGAUGGCUUUCAUGAACAAUUUUACAGAAUAGAACCAGAAAUGACUAUUAAUGAUCUGGUUGAAGUCAAACAAUACGAGCAUGAAUCCACAGAAGACUUCAUGAUGAGGUUUAGGAAGACCAGGAUGAGGUGCCAAUUCCCUGUUAACCAAGCUCAGCUCAUAUCAAUUGCUCAAAGGGCUCUGAAAUUACCUUUGAGGAAAAGAUUUUAUGAUACGCAAUUUAAUGAGCUACAUGAAUUAGUCAUUGCUGCCACAAGAUAUGAGAAGCUAUUGCUAGAAGAACAACAAGUGAAACAUACGUCCAAAACUCCUCCCUUCUACAAAAACAAAGCUACAAUUCAUCAUGUGGAGGUAGGAGAAAUUGGGCCAGAGCAGGAUGACGAUCAUGAUAGAGAGGAAAUCGAGGUGUGUGCUGCUGAGAUGACUACACCUUUCAAACCAUUGACGGUAAAAGGAUUGAUUCAGCCCAUCAAUGACCAGAAGAUCGUGAUGAACGAUGGAGGCUUUGUCCUGAUGAAACCUCUCAAAUAUUAGAGCUAUUCGUUCGAUCUGGCUAAAGCACCUGAGAUUUAUGAAGAGCUGGUGCGGGUAAGAGUGAUUGUGUCCGACAGUACAAAAAAGAUGCCCAAACCAGAAGAGCUAAGGGGAAAGAAGUAUUGCAAGUUACAUUAUACCUUCAACCAUUCUAUAACUAAUUGUGUCCAGUUUAGAGACUGGGUACAAGACCUUAUAGUGAAGGGAAAGUUGUUACUUGACAAGCCACAAGCUAGUAUGAUGGUUGAUACCAAUCCUUUCCCAGAAGCUCCUAACAACACAAUCCAUCUGGUUUAGAUGGAGAAGCCAGUGUCAUCGGCUGGUACGACAAAGGGGAAGAUGGAUCUCAGGUCGUCACAACACCCUUGCUCAAAUAAAGAAGAAAGUAAACAAGGGGGCAAAGAGUUGCCCGAAAGAGAAAUUUUUUUUGGAUAGGGGCCAGAAGUAAGCAAGCAAAAAACAAAUACGUGUUCAUUCCACUAAGAGAGGGGUUACAAUAGAUCAUAGUCCAAUAAUUUUACAUCUUCACUUAGGGUGAUUAUUCGGGAGUGAUAUGUCUGCAUAAUUGUAAAAAUCCUACUAGGUUCGGCCAGGACGGUGUGGCUAUUUGCAAGCUGAGAUCUAGAAUGCUCCAACUCCGAGUUUGUCUUUUUCACUUCUUCGAUUUGACUUUCGAGGGUGUCCAGAAGAGUUGCUUGCUCAGCCUUGAGAACAACCAGUUGUUCCUCUAGUUUUUGGAUUUCAGCGGUCACCACUCCAAUUCUUUCUUUUGUUAAUGAGCCAUCAUUCAUCAACUUGUCUACCUGAGCAGAUGUACUGGAUUCCUUCUCCUGGAAACAUCUUACACGAUUGGCUUGUCUUUCUGCUCUCUUAUGUUGGUCCCGAAGAGCCUUCAGAUUUUCAAAGAAAGAGAGGAAUGAAUCAUGUUGAGUUUUUGACAGUUGGCCAACUUUGAAAAGCUCACUCGUAACCCUUUCCAGAUCAUAAAGGGCCUUAAGGCUAAAUGAAGCAGAGAAGUCAUUCCUUGCCCAUUCUUGGAAAACUCGCUUCUGCUCUGGAAAACCUGAAGGUGAAGAAUUCUUUGAGGAUUUUAGCCUUGUCUCGAGCUGCCCGAAUUUUUCAAACAGUUCGGGCAACUUAGCAGUUCUUGAAGCUAGAGAAGCAGAUGGGGGACUUCGCACUCCAGUUUCCUCUAAUGAAGUAGCGCCUACUGAUGGGGCAGUUUUUAGCUCUCCGACCUUCUCCAUUCCAGGAUGAACAAUCCCAGCACUCCCAAUAGUCAAAUGAGGUCGGGGGAGCUUUGGUUUACGAACCAAGUGAGGAGGAGAAGUUUCUUCAGGAACUUGCUGCAAAGACCAAAAGAAGAUCAGAUUGUUAAAUAGACAAUUUGAAAUGAAGGAAAGUUUGGGAAGGAAGAAAUAUACCUGACUAAGCUUUGGAGUCUCACAAGGAAGAGUACCAAUCCCUGGUUGAGGAAGAGACUCCCUACCACUGACGGGGGAAGAAGAAACUGCACCUGAACCUUCACCAAUACCCUGGAAGUGUCCAGGAAUGGCAGCAAUGGUUAGUAAGCAGAUGGUAAAAGAAUAGCAGGAAGGAAAUAUCUCCUUACCAGAGUUCGACCCUGAGGAGAUGAAGGAAGUUCAUCAAGAGUAACUGUCGGGCAGGCAAUCACCUGCAAAGUAGUUGCUUCUGAAGUUACAGGAAUCUCAGGAACUAUGGGUUCGUCACUUGUUCUUGUUGCCACUGAUGGAUUUUGUAUUGAAGAAGGUUGGGGAAUACUCUGUGGGCAUACAGGACUUCCAAUAGGACAGGUACAGGGACAACUCCUUAUGCUUUAACCUUCGGGCAAGAUGCAGUGCUUCCUAUGAAGAUCAAUGUGAGUUCUGUCAGAAUUCAAAAUCAGUUUGGAUUACACAGCGAAGAAUACAUCGAAGCCAUGUGUCAAGGGAUUGAAGACUUAGAUGUAGCCCGAAUUGAAGCUCUGAACCAGAUUCAGGAAGGAAAGAGGGCUGUUGCCCAAGCAUAUAACAAAAGGGUGAAAGUAAAAUCUUAUAAGGAAGGAGAUUUGGUGUGGAAGACAGUUCUUCCUCUUGGAGCUCAGCUUAGGGGCUUUGGAAAGUAGAGCCCGACGUGGGAAGAUCCUUUCAUAGUUAGUCAAGUAUUAGACAAAGGGGGGUACUACUUGGCGGACCUCGAAGGGAAUUGGCAGAAACAUCCUAUUAAUGUUAAAUUCUUGAAAAAAUAUUGUCUGACAUUAUGGGAUGUUAGAGAUUGUUACAUUGAGGAGGAUGCAAGGCAAAGCAGACUUCGGGGUAUCAAGGUGCAGUGUAUGAUCACCAACCAUUCAAAAGAAGACAGAAAAAACAAAAAGUUGCUAAGUUAAUGUUUAUUUCAUUUCGACAAAUUGGCGAUAUUUACAAACUAAUCCAAGUCCAAAGUACUACAUUCGAUUCCUUCUACAAUGUUAUUUUCAGCUGGUUUUCCGAUGUCUCCCUGGAUAAGACCCGAUCAUGUGAUCGGGUUGUGCGACCAAAACGCGCCUGGUAGGGGAUCCUCAGGCAGAGUUACCACCACGUGUGAUGGUGAAGCUUAAUUUAUCACGAUGGCAAGCAGGAAGGCAAGCAUUCGUGAGGAAACCGCCUGACCAAGGGUGUUGGAGAUAGCGGGGUGUUUGACCAAAGGUGUUGGAGAUAGUAGUUAUCUAAUGAGAACUCUUUUUCUCACGAAAAGGGAGUUUUAAGAAACCCCACCUAAACUCUGAAGAACUCAUUUCACAGUUUUGGAAGAAAACUAAGGAAGCAGAAACACCUGGGGUGGAUAAAAGAUGAGAUCGAGGAUGAUUUGUGGGGAUAAUCAGAAUUUAUAGGAAUGUCGGAAGGUAGUUCAAGGGUCAUGGGAAGAUCGAGAGACUCCGGGUGGCGUUAAUCUCCACCAGAAGCUACAAGUUCCAAGAGCAAGGGUGCAGACGCAUGCAGCUUUUCAAUUAAUAUUGGCGCCUGAAAUUCCAGGCUAAAUAUCAAUUAAAGGGGGCACUGUUUGGAUCAAAGCUUAAACUUUGGGCUCGGGGGAAGUUGGCCCAAAGAGCAGCCUAAAAGGAAGAAGCCCAGUCAAGGCCAGCCGAAGUCCAGAAGACAGGAGAAACCCGUUUCUGACUAGGUGCAGGCCAUGCAGACUACUUGCUCACCUACCCAAUGGCCAAGUGGUAUAGACCAGCCAGCUAAUCAGCCCAAAAAGUACUUUUUAAUGGCAGUACAAGUAAAUAGCUGAUGAGUCACUAUCCUUCAAACUACAUUUGGGCAAGAUUAUUGCUACAGGAGGCCAAACCAAGUUGUCUAUAAAAGGAGAAGGAGAAGUCAGAAUCAAGGACACUCAAACAAACAAACAAAAGCACAAACUCUGCUCAAAAGCCAUAUUUGCCUUCAAAACGAAGCUGUAGUCAGCCCAAGCCUUCAUCCAUUUCGGGAUAAACCCUUUGUAAUAGCUCUGCUACCCUGCUCAAAGCCUGUUGUAGUAUCGAUUUUCUUUCUGCAAACUCAUUUCCCAACCCCUUUUCUAAAGCCUUCAAACCUUCUGUUAACCUACAAAGAUAGGAAGUUGUAAGACGAUCAGCCUUACCCGACAAGGUUAAACCUUGCCCGACCUGUUUUGUUUUUGUCUUUUUCAUUCAUUAGCCUAGCAAUGUGUUGUAUACUUCAAGUUGUACCCAAGUUAUUUCUAGUAAUAUGAAUUUUAAAAUACCCUCUCAGCGCUUGAAUCCGAUUUGAAUAUGUCUUCAUAGUUCAAAUCAGAUCUAAGUUCUAAGCCUUCAGGCAUAUAAGAUUUGAUCACCUUAAAAAGUCCUUGGCCUCAAGGCAUAAAAAAGAACCUGAUGUGGACUUAACCCAUCCACUACAAGCUUUGAUAAUGAGAAGUCCGAAGUUACUUGGGGCGCAAGUAAUCGACCUGCUACUUGGUUUUAUUUCUGUUAUAUUAUGAUGACCGUAUAACGUUCGAGUACGGGAUGAAUUCUGAUGGGAAGCCUCAAGGCCUAUUCAAGGCCCCACAAAGGCACCUAUUUGGAUUCAUCCUAUUUCUCGGGCAAGAACAUUGAGUAUAGGAGGGGUUUUGAUGGGAAGCCUCAAUGCCUAUUCAAGGCCCCACAAAGGCACCUAUUUGGAUCCAUUCUGCUCUUUGAGUUCAGGUAAUCAGAAGUAUAAUGGUUAUAAGAACCAUAUAACUCACAAAAGGAACCUUAUGUGUUUGAGUACUAAGUUAGUUAUUUAUGGGAAGCCUCAAGGCCUACAUCUAAGGCCCCACAAAGGCACCUGUCAAUAACUAACAUAGUUUCUCGAAUAUAUAUGAUUAAAACUCAAAACAUCCGUUCUACAUCUACCAUGCUAAAGAUGGUAGUGGCACGCCUGAGCAAUUCCAAGUUAAUCUUGAUCGUGAGCCUCAAGGCCUACAUUCAAGGCCCCAUAAAGGCACCUUUCAAAGUUAACUAUGUCCUUCUCUUUCAGCCUUGCCCGACAAGCCCGCCAAUAAAGCAGGAGCCCAACAGAAAGCAUCAACCGGCGCCAACCUCUCAGGGAGCUGUGUGCUCGUCGGCCAGGAAGCAUUCCCCAUGGAAAUUCCCGUCACGAACAAACAUAAAUCUAAUUGUUUGGGAAGAGUGAAAUUGGAAUAUUAGUAUCUAUCAUCCUAAAAAGUAUGACGAAAACAAGGGAAUAAAAAACCCAGAUAAAUGAAACCAGAACUUCAUCAAAUUUACCAAUCAAAAGAAACUUAAUCUCUUUCAAUUGAUUUACUCGGUCUUUGUUGGUUUGCAAGGUUAUGCACUUAAUUCAAUUCCUCCAACAAUAUCAUGGUAAUGGUUGGACUCGUAAACAAUUCCAUAUACUUCACUGAAAAACUAAUCCAAGGUUAACGAAAAUUAAGACAAGAACUCAUCUAAAAGUAUGAAACAAAAUUUUCUUAUUGGAACAAACAGAUUGUCAUGAUUGUAUAGUUAUGCUCUUCACCACAAAAUGUCGCAAGUUCUCAACUGAAACAAAUAGGUUUUCCUGUUUGUUGGCUUCCGUUCUUGGUCUGAGGUUACUGAAAAUUAAGAGAAUAUCACAUCUACAAGGUAAAUUGACAUUAGGCUUGUGGUUUUUAAUUGCAUGUCUCGUUUGUGUCUCUUUACUAAUUUCUUGACGUUUGUUUCUUCACUUAUUCAAAGUUAAUUAUUGGUUUAUUUUAUGUUUUAAUUUUUAAUUAAUUUUAUGAACUUACUUUGGAAUAAGUGGAGGGAUAAGUGUCAAGAAAAGAGACACAAAUGAGACAUGUAAUUAGGGAGAGAUUUUUCAGUAUGACCGGUACAUGGAGUGAUAAACCAUAUAUCACUAAUAUAUACUAUAUAUUUAAUAGUGUAUUGGAAAAAUGAAAGCAAGCAUUCAUUUGAAAUAUCAUCUCUAAAUGCAUGCAUUUGGUACAUAGAUAGCUAACUGAACUGAUAAGGAUAAGGGACGGAUUGAAG